rnacentral:lncRNA from 1 species
CAUCUUUAGUUUUUUUUCAGCAUUAGUUUCCAUGCUGCAUGUAAAGGAACUAGCUUUUCAUUCAGACCUCAAGAUUCCAAUGAUAAGGCCCCAAGCCAUUUUUACAGCUUCCUCUUUUCCCCACUACUUUACCUCCAAAGAAAUUGGGCUAAACCCUACCAGAGUUUCUCCAUUUCUGAAUUUAUGCUCUUCCUCUGAGUAUCCUUUAAGACCUGUCAUGAACCUCUUACCUUCCAGGAAACCUCCACCAAUUUCCCAAAGCUCAUUGAUCUCCCCCACACUGAACUUGAUCCCUAUUUUAAGGCUCUUGUUGUUAAACUUCCUUGUAGAUGAGUUACUUGUGUUCUUGUCCCAUGUCCCAUUUCUUCAGGUGGAGUGUGUGGCUUAGCCAUCCCUUCACUCCCUGCACAACACCUUUCUUAAACAGCCUAGCUCUGUGCCUUCCCAGGUAUGUAUGUUGUGAGGUGAUAUGUCAUAGAUAUCAAAUGUUAAUCAGGGAAGGAACCUUAGAGUUAACUAGUAUCACCUUUUCGUUUUAUAGAUGAGACAGAGAGAUGUACAGAAGCCAGCCACCCAAGGUCACUGGUGAGAUGGGAAUCUCAUCAGGUGACCUGAUUCCCUGUAAAUUAUCACCUUCUAAAACGUGAAGGGGUACAUGAUGUCAAGGGAGAAUAUUUUGGCAUUGUGAAACUAUAUGAAUUGUUUAUAUGUUGAUGGGAAUAAUAGAGCAGAGAGGGGAACAUUGAUGAUACAAUAAUUGCAGGAAGGAAAUUGUUGAGUAUGUGAGAGGGGAUGGGAUCCAGUCCAGGACUCAAAAAAAUAGACCCAUCAGACAGUAGGGGACACUGAGUACAUGGCUAGGUUGUAGGUAUAUUGAUAGAUAUCAAGAGAAAGUGGAAAUUUUUUUUCUGAGCUUUCCUGGUUUUUCUUUUGAAUAAAAGAUAGGGUUUUCAGCUGAAAAUGAGGAGGAAGGAAAAGGUGUUGGAGGUGUGAAGUGAGAAGAGAUAAAAGUCGUCUAGGGGAGUGGGAAAAGGAGUCAAUGACAGAAUUACAGCAUGAUUAUGGGCAGCACUAACUACUUGAGGUUUAUGGUCAAGCAGUGUUUUCCAGUGGAGAUGUUAUUGGCCUUUUGAGCAGGCCUGUCACUUGAGCAUUUAGUAUCCCUGGCACUUACAUCCCUCAAUGAUUGUGAUGAUCAAGAAAUGGUCCCUGUCGCAUUUCCAAAUACCCCCUAGGGGCUCUGAACUGUUUAUAAUUGAGAAGAACUGGGAUACCAGUCACAAGGGGGUAUGCUUUUCUUUGGUCACAUUCAGCUCCUCAGGUGCUGGGAGGAAGAAGGAGGAGAUCUGAAUUUAGGAGUUUUCGGCUGUGACAGACAAGAACAGGCAAGAGUGAAAGGCAGGAGUAUUGAGGGUAUAUGUAAUAGAGUGAUGAUAACAGUAAGAUUUUCUAAACAACAAAUACCUGCUACUGACUCGAAGCAACUCAGGAGCGCCACAUUGGUGGAGGAUUUCUGGCUACAUUCAGGGACAGUUGAACAUGUAUCCAUUUUCUGGCUAUUAUGAAUAGAGCACUAUGAACAUGAUUAUACAUAUUUUUGGGUGGACAUACACAUUCAUUUCUCUUGAGAACAUAGCCAGGAUGGACUUGAUGGGUCACAGGGCAUACGUGCAUUUAGCUCUAUUAAAAACUACUGCUCAUUCAUUUAAAAGUUACGUAUAUAGCUACCUUUGACUCAGCCAUUCCAUCCAAGUAUUUAUCCAAGAGAAAAUAAGGCAUAUAUCCACACAAAGACUUGUACAUUACUAUUGAUAGCAGCUUUAUUUGUAAUAACAAAGAAUUGGAAAUGACACAGAUGUUCAUCUACAGGUGAAUAGGUCAACAAAUGGAACUACAGCCAUACAAUGGAAUACUACUCAGCAAUAAAAAAGUAUCAAUAGACACAUAAACAUGGAUGAAUUAUAAAUAAUUACUUGAGUAAAAGAAGCUAAAUACAAAAUACAUACUGUAUGAUUCCAUGAAUAUAAAAUCCUAGAAAAGACAAACUAAUCUAUAGUGAUAGAAAGCAGAUUAGUGGUUGCCUGCAGAUGAAGUGGUGAAGAAUAGAGAGAAGGGAUGGACUCCAAAAGGCUUGAGGAAACUUCUGGGGGUGGUGGAUGUGUUUAUGUUCUUGACUAUGGUAAUUACUUCAUGGGUGCAUACAUAUGUCAAAUUUAUCAAAUUAUACACAUUAAAAAUAUGCAGUGUAUUGUACAUGAAUUAUACCUCAAAGCUAAAAAAUUAAAAGCCUACUGAACAGUUUUCCAAAGUGGUUUAACCAAUUUAGCCAUCAGUAAAGUAUGAGAAUUCUAGUUUUCUAUCACACUUGGUCUUAAACAGUCUUUUUAAUUUUGGUGGUAGUGUGUUAUUGCAUUAUGGUUCAUUUGCAUUUUCCUGAUCAAAUGACAUUGAGCACCUUUUCAUAUGCAUAUUGUCAUUUGAAUAUCCUCUUUUGUUAAAUGCCUAUUUCAAGUGUUUUCCCAUUUUCCUGUGGGAUUCUUAGUCUUUUUAUUUUGAUUUGUAGUUUUUUUUAUAUAUUCUGGAUGAGGUUCUUAUCAUGAUGGGGGAGAAGAGGUUGUCUUCCAGUGUGUCACUUGCCUUUUCACUCUCUGAAUGUUGUCUUUUGAUGAAUAUUUCAUAAUUUUAAUGAAAAAUCCAAUUUAUUAAGUUUUUCUCUUGUUUUAAAUGCUUUUUAUAUCUUGUUUUAAAAAUGUUUGCCUCCCUAAAGUUACAGAGAUAUCUCUUGUAUUUCUUUUCUACGACCUUAUCGCUUUAAUAAUCAUACAUAGGCCUAUGUGUUAAAAAAUUUUUUUUUGGUAUACUGUGAAACAGAGUGUGAAAUAAAGGAUCAAUGAAC